rnacentral:lncRNA from 1 species
UAUAGCCUCACGCGCUAAAUUCCCUAUCUGACUUAAGUAUCGAAGAGGCGACGAGCACACCUCGUUGCCUUUGUUUCAGGUAUUCGAAGACUGUUCGUGUUUACUUAAGUUUGCCCAAGUUUGAAGUUCGAUCAUCAAGUUCGAAAUCUUUCAGGUAUAAUUUUUUGGUCGCAUCAACAAGUAUCACCUAUUUAUUCACUUAUCUCGAAUAGUGUUUCAACUCACUUUUGUAACCAUCAGAUCGAAAAAUAAAAAGUGUAGAAAACAAGGAAUAAACACACAAGAUUUUUUUUGAUCGAAGUCUAAGAAAUUCAGUGGCCACUUUUAACACCUAAUCUGCUGUUGAACAUUCACGAAGUGAAUAACAUUAGUAGCACUAGAAUCACGCAAGAAAGCAACCAAGGGACAAUCAAUGUUUUUUAUAAUAGAGAUUAAGCCACUUAGGCUUAUACUUUCAAGAAUCAAACCAAUCCAAAGGUUCUGUACACCAAGAAGUCAAAACAACAUAAUAUAUGCGCUUUCUGUAUCACGAAGAUCAAAAAAUGCCAAGGUGUUCUCUGAUUUUUAUACGUCAAGUGAAAACAGAAAAUAGAAAGAAAUGAAGUAGAAGAGGUAAAAUUAGAGUUUCUUUACUAAGGAGUUCAAGAGAGAUGUGUAGGAAAUUGAAAGGAACCAAAAAUUCAUCAAAUCGUUGGUCUUGUAGGAAAUUGAAAGGAACCAAAAAUUCAUCAAAUCCUUUCACAUAUUUUCAUAAAUUUCCAUGUUGAAAUCAAAGAGAAGAAUAAAAAACGUGGAAGCAUACCUUGGUCCAUAAUUGUUAGUUUUCUGAACAGGUUUUGAUCUUCCAAUUAUUACGUGAUUUCCUUGAAUUUUCUUUUUUUUUUUUUUUUGUUUUUGUUUUUUUUUUUUGAUACCCAGGUGUCCACCUUACAGCAACUAAUCCUAGGGUCUACGAUCCAACCCCUAUUCACGCAGACCAGGUAAACCGUGGGUUGUACCCCAAACUGACCAGGGUCUAAGAGCUCCCCCAACUGAACUGUCAAAGUGUCGAGCGAGUCAAACCCAUGUAUGCGCCUUGCCUUCCAAGGAACUCCUGCAUUCCAGGAGAAAGACUUGCCUUCCAAGAGCCCCAUGAAUCGAACCCGCGACCUCUGAACUGUCUGCCUUGAAGAACUACGUCCUUUGCCAAUUGGAAUGUGCCCCGAAGGACGAUUUCCUUGAAUUUUCUUCUCUGUUGAUGGGGGAUGCGGUGAACUAUUAAACCCACGUACAAUUAGAGACCAUGACCCCAUAAUAAAAUAUCUGUAAUUGGCAGUUAUUAACUUUGCGUUAUUUCAAAUCAAUCCCUCAUCAAUUUAAAAUAAUAUUUCU